rnacentral:rRNA from 1 species
CGUAAAGACGCAUGCAGGUGGUUUGUUUAAGUUCAGAUGUGAAAGACCCGGGGCGCAACCUCGGAACUGCAUUUGAAACUAGGCAGACUAGAGUACUGUAGAGGGGGGUAGGGAAUUUCAGGUGUAGCGGUGAAAUAGCGUAGAGAUCUGAAGGAAUACCGGUGGCGAAGGCGGCCCCCUCGGACAGAUACUGACACUCAGAUGCGAAAGCGUGGGGAGCAAACAGGAUUAGAUACCCUGGGAG